CACAGGUAGCCUAGCGGUUCAGAGCAGGUAGCCUAGCGGUUCAGAGCAGGUAGCCUAGCGGUUCAGAGCAGGUAGCCUAGCGGUUCAGAGCAGGUAGCCUAGCGGUUCAGAGCAGGUAGCCUAGCGGUUCAGAGCAGGUAGCCUAGCGGUUCAGAGCAGGUAGCCUAGCGGUUAAGAGCAGGUAGCC